CCUACGGGGGGCUGCAGUGAGGAAUAUUGGACAAUGGGGGGAACCCUGAUCCAGCCAUGCCGCGUGUGUGAAGAAGGCCCUCGGGUUGUAAAGCACUUUCAGUGAGGAAGAACGCCUGGUGGUUAAUACCCAUCAGGAAAGACAUCACUCACAGAAGAAGCACCGGCUAACUCCGUGCCAGCAGCCGCGGUAAUACGGAGGGUGCGAGCGUUAAUCGGAAUUACUGGGCGUAAAGCGCGCGUAGGUGGCUUGAUAAGCCGGUUGUGAAAGCCCCGGGCUCAACCUGGGAACGGCAUCCGGAACUGUCAAGCUAGAGUGCAGGAGAGGAAGGUAGAAUUCCCGGUGUAGCGGUGAAAUGCGUAGAGAUCGGGAGGAAUACCAGUGGCGAAGGCGGCCUUCUGGACUGACACUGACACUGAGGUGCGAAAGCGUGGGUAGCAAACAGGAUUAGAUACCCCGGUAGUC
rnacentral:rRNA from 1 species